GGGAGGAGGACCUUGGGGGGAGCGCCGGGGGAGGGCCGGAGGAGCUGGGACCCUACUGCCUCCCGGCGGGCUGGGGACCAUUCCAGACCCCAGGAUGGAGAAGAGCGAGGAACAGAGCCCAGAAGGGAGGAAGUGGCUGGCUGAUGGAAGCGGGGGAGGUGGGAAGGGCUCAGCGAUCACCCGAAAAUGCCAAUUGUGAUACCGGUGGAGGAUGCUUCUCACAAGUUAAAGGGGUGCCUAAGAAAAUGGAGGGAAGAAGGAACAUGCCGAAACAGCAGGAAAGAACAACCUCAAAAUCUUCCAGGAUGGGUCAGGGUGAUUUUUGAGAUCUGUAAUUGUAAUAUUUGGUGAUUUUAAAUAAGUACCCAAGAAAUUUCCCAUCCCAGAUCUUAUUCUUUUUACCCAUAUCCUCCUUCUCUCAUACAGCAUCUCCUUAUAAUCGAGUUUCCACAUACUUGCCAGAUGAGCGAUUAGUUUGUUUAUCCAAUAAACAUCUAUUAAGCACCUACUAGCUGCACAGUCACUGAGCUAAGGAUGUGGGUUAGAGAUAUGGUGAAUACAUGGUUUCUGACCCCAGUAUGCUCACAGAUUAUUAAGAACUGUUAAUAAUACAAUUUGACAUUGUGUGGUACAUGGUGAGUUAUAAAAUAGGCUGGGUGAACACCCAAGGAGUGGGCCUAUUCCUGCACUGGGAAGGAAUAGGGAAUGGCAUGGGGCAGGGAAGUCAGAAAAGGUUGCCAGAGAUGGUGACAGUUGCUGAGUGCUGAGAGACAAAUAGAAGUUUCCAAAGUAAACAAAAGGCAUUAUAAGUGAAGGGAACUGAAGCUGGGAUGCAGAACACUAUCUAGAGGCUGCA
rnacentral:lncRNA from 1 species